AUAGCUUGUCUCAAAGAUUAAGCCAUGCAUGUCUAAGUAUAAGCACUUUAUACCGUGAAACUGCGAAUGGCUCAUUAAAUCAGUUAUCGUUUAUUUGAUAGUACCUUACUACAUGGAUACCUGUGGUAAUUCUAGAGCUAAUACAUGCUAAAAACCCCGACUUCGGAAGGGGUGUAUUUAUUAGAUAAAAAACCAAUGCCCUUCGGGGCUCCUUGGUGAUUCAUAAUAACUUAACGAAUCGCAUGGCCUUGCGCCGGCGAUGGUUCAUUCAAAUUUCUGCCCUAUCAACUUUCGAUGGUAGGAUAGUGGCCUACCAUGGUGGCAACGGGUAACGGGGAAUUAGGGUUCGAUUCCGGAGAGGGAGCCUGAGAAACGGCUACCACAUCCAAGGAAGGCAGCAGGCGCGCAAAUUACCCAAUCCCGACACGGGGAGGUAGUGACAAUAAAUACUGAUACGGGGCUCUUUUGGGUCUCGUAAUUGGAAUGAGUACAAUUUAAAUCCCUUAACGAGGAACAAUUGGAGGGCAAGUCUGGUGCCAGCAGCCGCGGUAAUUCCAGCUCCAAUAGCGUAUAUUAAAGUUGUUGCAGUUAAAAAGCUCGUAGUUGAACCUUGGGUCUGGCUGGCCGGUCCGCCUCACCGCGAGUACUGGUCCGGCUGGACCUUUCCUUCUGGGGAAUCCCAUGGCCUUCACUGGCUGUGGGGGGAACCAGGACUUUUACUGUGAAAAAAAUUAAAGUGUUCAAAGCAGGCCUUUGCUCGAAUACAUUAGCAUGGGAAUAAUAAAAUAAGGACGUGCGGGUUCUAUUUUGUUGGGUUUCUAGGACCGCCCUAAUGGAUUAAUAAGGGAAAAGUCCGGGGCGUC
rnacentral:rRNA from 1 species